rnacentral:rRNA from 1 species
AUUGAACGCUGGCGGCAGGCCUAACACAUGCAAGUCGAACGAGUGGCGGACGGGUGAGUAAUGUCUGGGAAACUGCCUGAUGGAGGGGGAUAACUACUGGAAACGGUAGCUAAUACCGCAUACCAUCGGAUGUGCCCAGAUGGGAUUAGCCAGUAGGUGGGGUAACGGCUCACCUAGGCGCCGAUCCCUAGCUGGUCUGAGAGGAUGACCAGCCGCAUUGGAACUGAGACACGGUCCAGAUGCCUGCGGGAGGCAGCAGUGGGGAGUAUUGAACAAUGGGCGAAAGCCUGGUGCAGCCAUGCCGCAUGUAUGUAGAAGGCCUUCGGGUUGUAAAGUACUUUCAGCGGGGAGGCGUUACCCGCAGAAGAAGCACCGGCUAACUCCGAGCCAGCAGCCGCGGUAAUUC